GAAGGCAUACCCAUAACGAUGUUUUUGGGUCUCGGUAAUUACAUGAAAACCAGUGAUGUUUUUUCGACGUGACGGCCCAUUUACUAAAAGAAAUUAAACCAUGUCACUAGAUACAUACAGUUGUAAGACAGAUAAAGUGUUGAAGGUUAAAUAAAAUGUAUACAAACGAUGAUAAACGAAGUAGUCAUCGCUGUGAGUGAAACGAGGCAAGAUGAAUCUUUGGUUUGUUUUGUUAUUCAUUAUUUCGUGUCUGGGAAUUAGCUCUGCGGAAUGUCCACCAGACCAAUAUGAUCCGGGUCCAAAUUGCGCCUUCGAGACAAUCUGUGCAUUACGAAGCGCGCACUCAAACAGGAAACACUACUGUGACUGCUGGUGCAAGCCUGGCCUCAUAAGGGACUCUAUCGCUCAUAAAUGUGUGAAAGAAUGCCCGAAAUACGAUGAAAUUCUGGACUAGUUACAUAAUUCCGAUCUCAUUACUGUUCGGGCGUAUAGAUGAUGUAAUUUUCUAUGUGAAAUCUUGAAUAAAUGCUUUAUUAAUUUGUUUA